GGAUGACAGGGGCGACACGCGCGCCGAGGUUGUCAAGCAGUGGAUGUUGGCCACCAAACUUGAUGGGCGUGUUCGUCUCUACAUCACGCCCUGCGUGCCGCCGGGGGGACCAGCGGUGCCCAGUGACGCCGAACUGCAGGAGGCGUAUCAUGGAUACAUAUGCGCCUCCGAGGACAAUAAUAGCUCAGCAGAGUUAUUCACGUCGCUUGUAACGAUAUGGUGAAUGAUGGUGGUGGUGGUGAUGGCCAUGUAUGCACUUCAGAAUGGAUUUGCCAACUCCUGGGUUCGUUCUUUUAUGAAUUAGAUUACGUUUAGUGGAAUAUCUGCGAGUAUUUAUUUGAAACUUUUGAAACUGAUUGUUGCACUUAGGUUUACGGUGCGCGAUUAUCAGAGAAAAUUUUGCUCUUCGACGCAAGGAUCGCAGUCUUUUGGCCCGUACGUAAUCUUGAAAAUUUUUGUGAAGUAGCAGGAAAAAUAUUGCGAAGACGGUGUGGAGAUGAAUAUUAAACAACAAUUAGAUAAUCAUGUUGAUACAAAUCUUUUGCAAUAUGUAUUAAGUAUGAAAUUGUUGUUCCUGAGCCUGUAAAACUGUCAGAAGUGUUAAGUGAUGCUGAGAUCAAGAAAAGGAUAGAUUGCGGAAUUGUCAAGAAAUUAACCCGUCAGCGGGCAUCGCCUGUGGUGAUCGUUCAAAAUUAUGAUGUUUCUUUGCGUUCGACUGGCGAUUAUGGAAAAUAAAUAAUUUUUUCAAUACAGCUAAGUUUUCCAAUGCCAAAUGCUGAAAGUGCGGUUAAUUAGACUCAAAACUAAGAUAUGUGCAAUGAAAAGCUAGGCUUAACUUAAACAUGUCCAUAAAUGUCUUGGGCUGAUCAAUUAAUUAAUUAAGAGUAUACUACUUUUGGUAUUUAUAAUGUUCAGCACGAAUUCAAUGUUCCCUUUGUUAGAAAAUUGUUCCCUUUAGAAAAAAUCUGUAAUACAUGUGAUUGUUUGAUAUUGAUUUAUUGAUUUGUAUUAGUGUCUUGAUGUGUUGUACCAUUCAUUUAUUAGCGUUAUAUUGUUAUCCCUGUAGUUAAGAGCGGAGUGAGCCUCUUGUUGCUCACGUCUUCAGCCAGGGCUUUUCUCGCCACCAAAAUUACAUGUGGGAUUGAGUAGUCUUUCUGUUUUGUGUGCAACAAAGUAAGUAACAACCGUAUUUGCGUUAUGUAUGGAAAUUAUUAUUCUA